GGGGUGACUCGCCGAUAAGAAGAGGGCCAAACCGGUGGUCGGCGGUGACCACCGGCGACGGCAAAAUGGCAAAAAAAGAAAAUUCUUCUGCAAUAAAAUCCGGUGACUCUGGUCGCCGGCGAGCGUGCACAUCGGCACGGGAAGGAAGGGGGAGAAGAGAGGAAGAGGAGGAGGCUUACCUCCGUCGCCGGCGAAGCUUUUCCGAUGAGAAAUUGGACGGCACAGCGACGGG
rnacentral:lncRNA from 1 species